GUGCCAGCCGCCGCGGUAAUACGUAGGCUGCGAGCGUUAUCCGGAAUUAUUGGGCGUAAAGAGCUCGUAGGCGGUUUGUCGCGUCUGUCGUGAAAGUCCGGGGCUUAACCCCGGAUCUGCGGUGGGUACGGGCAGACUAGAGUGCAGUAGGGGAGACUGGAAUUCCUGGUGUAGCGGUGGAAUGCGCAGAUAUCAGGAGGAACACCGAUGGCGAAGGCAGGUCUCUGGGCUGUAACUGACGCUGAGGAGCGAAAGCAUGGGGAGCGAACAGGAUUAGAAACCCGUGUAGUCC
rnacentral:rRNA from 1 species